rnacentral:tRNA from 1 species
GGGGUAUUAGCUCAGUAGGCUAGAGCGCUUGCAUGGCAUGCAAGAGGUCAUCGGUUCGACUCCGAUAUACUCCACCA